AUUGAACGCUGGCGGCAGGCCUAACACAUGCAAGUCGAGCGGAGCGGCGGACGGGUGAGUAAUGCCUAGGAAUCUGCGUGGUAGUGGGGGAUAACGUCCGGAAACGGGCGCUAAUACCGCAUACUAUCAGUUGAGCCUAGGUGGGAUUAGCUAGCUGGUGGGGUAAAGGCAUACCAAGGCGACGAUCCGUAACUGGUCUGAGAGGAUGCUCAGUCACAAUGGACCUGAGACACGGUCCAGACUCCUACGGGAGGCAGCAGUGGGGAUUUUUAGACAAUGGGGGACACCCUGAUCCAGCCAUCCCGCGUGUGCGAUGAAGGCCUUCGGGUUGUAAAGCACUUUUGGCAGGAAAGCGGUACCUGCAGACUAAGCACCGGCUAACUACGUGCCAGCCGCCGCGGUAAUUC
rnacentral:rRNA from 1 species